AGCAGUGGCGGACGGGUGAGUAACGCGUGGGAACGUGCCCUUUGGUUCGGAACAACACAGGGAAACUUGUGCUAAUACCGAAUGUGCCCUUCGGGGGAAAGAUUUAUCGCCAUUGGAGCGGCCCGCGUUGGAUUAGCUAGUUGGUGGGGUAAAGGCCCACCAAGGCGACGAUCCAUAGCUGGUCUGAGAGGAUGAUCAGCCACACUGGGACUGAGACACGGCCCAGACUCCUACGGGAGGCAGCAGUAGGGAAUCUUGCGCAAUGGGCGAAAGCCUGACGCAGCCAUGCCGCGUGAAUGAUGAAGGUCUUAGGAUUGUAAAAUUCUUUCACCGGGGAAGAUAAUGACGGUACCCGGAGAAGAAGCCCCGGCUAACUUCGUGCCAGCAGCCGCGGUAAUACGAAGGGGGCUAGCGUUGCUCGGAAUUACUGGGCGUAAAGGGCGCGUAGGCGGACAGUUUAGUCAGAGGUGAAAGCCCAGGGCUCAACCUUGGAAUUGCCUUUGAUACUGGCUGUCUUGAGUUCGGGAGAGGUGAGUGGAAUGCCGAGUGUAGAGGUGAAAUUCGUAGAUAUUCGGCGGAACACCAGUGGCGAAGGCGACUCACUGGCCCGAUACUGACGCUGAGGCGCGAAAGCGUG
rnacentral:rRNA from 1 species